CACACAAUCUGAAAGCUUAAUCAGGGUCUGGUGUUUCCAUCAGAGCUGCACUCAGAGGUGCCAAAACAUUUAGACUAAUGCAGCAGUGGAUAACGCGGGAAUGUGGGAUCUUCUCAUAAACACUGUGAACAUCAUUGUGAAGUUCAUCUGAUGAUCUGCGGCUUGUGUAAACUCAGAGGACUGCGAGAGAUCAGCAGGAGACGGUGUUACAUCAUGGGCUGAAUAAAUGAGACCGGGCCACAAUGGAGUAUAAGUGCUUAUAACUCUCUCUCUCUCUCUCUCUCUCUCUCUCUCUCUCUCUGUAUAAAUCUCUGAUAUCUCUUUCAUCUUCUCACACUUCUGGGAGAAGGAGUGGAGCCAAGCUUCAUUCAUUACAGUUCAACCCAGUGGAUUAAUACGACCUGAAGCUUCUCUGUGGGAUGAGUGACAGCCGUGUGAACGAGGGAUUGACCAGAGAAGUCACAUCAUGUAAGAGGUUACAGUCGUCCACGUGGAACGUUCGAACUAAACCUUCGCCUUUAAAGUGAGAAGACAGAAGUGAGUCUGCUGCUCCUGCUGCUGAUACGUUACCUGACCUUCAGCCUGGACCAAGUGGAGAUGGAGCUGUCUGAGGUCCGGGACCCACAGGUGACAGCACAGCGACUCUACACCCAUCAGCACCACCGAUAUGGACACC